CUAAUCUUAGGUGGUCGCUGCAAAUUCAGCGACCGGGUUUCGCAGCCCGAUUA
rfam:Enterocytozoon bieneusi H348 ctg01_1447, whole genome shotgun sequence.